rnacentral:ncRNA from 1 species
ACAAUGAUACUUCCGUCCGAAAGGGCGGCUCGCAGUACCUGAAGUGGGCUGGGAGGGGUGAGAUUCCCAUG